rnacentral:rRNA from 1 species
UACAGAGGGGGCAAGCGUUGUUCGGAAUUACUGGGCGUAAAGGGCGCGUAGGCGGCCUGUUAAGUCGAACGUGAAAUCCCCGGGCUCAACCCGGGAACUGCGUCCGAUACUGGCAGGCUUGAAUCCAGGAGAGGUGAGUGGAAUUCCGAGUGUAGAGGUGAAAUUCGUAGAUAUUCGGAAGAACACCAGUGGCGAAGGCGGCUCACUGGACUGGUAUUGACGCUGAGGUGCGAAAGCGUGGGGAGCAAACAGG